rnacentral:rRNA from 1 species
CCUCUGACGUUAGCGGCGGACGGGUGAGUAACACGUGGAUAACCUACCUAUAAGACUGGGAUAACUUCGGGAAACCGGAGCUAAUACCGGAUAAUAUAUUGAACCGCAUGGUUCAAUAGUGAAAGACGGUUUUGCUGUCACUUAUAGAUGGAUCCGCGCCGCAUUAGCUAGUUGGUAAGGUAACGGCUUACCAAGGCAACGAUGCGUAGCCGACCUGAGAGGGUGAUCGGCCACACUGGAACUGAGACACGGUCCAGACUCCUACGGGAGGCAGCAGUAGGGAAUCUUCCGCAAUGGGCGAAAGCCUGACGGAGCAACGCCGCGUGAGUGAUGAAGGUCUUCGGAUCGUAAAACUCUGUUAUUAGGGAAGAACAAAUGUGUAAGUAACUAUGCACGUCUUGACGGUACCUAAUCAGAAAGCCACGGCU